GAGUUUGAUUCUGGCUCAGAGCGAACGCUGGCGGCAGGCCUAACACAUGCAAGUCGAACGAACUCUUCGGAGUUAGUGGCGGACGGGUGAGUAACACGUGGGAACGUGCCCUUUGGUACGGAAUAACUCAGGGAAACUUGAGCUAAUACCGUACGUGCCCUUCGGGGGAAAGAUUUAUCGCCAUUGGAGCGGCCCGCGUCUGAUUAGCUAGUUGGUGAGGUAAAGGCUCACCAAGGCGACGAUCAGUAGCUGGUCUGAGAGGAUGACCAGCCACAUUGGGACUGAGACACGGUCCAAACUCCUACGGGAGGCAGCAGUGGGGAAUCUUGCGCAAUGGGCGAAAGCCUGACGCAGCCAUGCCGCGUGGAUGAUGAAGGUCUUAGGAUUGUAAAAUCCUUUCACCGGUGAAGAUAAUGACUGUAGCCGGAGAAGAAGCCCCGGCUAACUUCGUGCCAGCAGCCGCGGUAAUACGAAGGGGGCUAGCGUUGCUCGGAAUUACUGGGCGUAAAGGGCGCGUAGGCGGACAUUUAAGUCAGGGGUGAAAUCCCAGAGCUCAACUCUGGAACUGCCUUUGAUACUGGGUGUCUUGAGUGUGAG
rnacentral:rRNA from 1 species